rnacentral:lncRNA from 1 species
UGAGCGUCGUGGGCUCCGAGAGGGACGCGGGCGGAGGGCAAAGUGGGUUCAUGAUAUGAAUUGUAAAAUUGGCGACUGCGUAAUGUAAAACACUUAACAAUUGCUUAGAUUUCCUUUGGGAAAUAACUUGCUUUUAAAUUGUAAACAAAUUACAAACAAACUGCUAGUGCUUCUGGGUCUUCUUACCGAAAUGGCUGAUUCAGGAGGAUGCGGGGAGCGUCAGAUCAGGAUUGCUGAAGGAGAGCUGAGAAUGAAACCACCAUUUAUACAGCACUCAGAAUGCUCCAGGCAGUGUAAUCUCAUUCCAUCUUCAUUCAUGACUCCAGACAGGUAUUGUUAUUCAUUGUUUAUACUUGAGAAAGCAGAUUCAGAGAAGUUAAAGUAUCUACCACAAGGUACGAAAGUAGUAAGUAGUAAUGCCAGAGUACAAGCCUAGGUCUGCUUCCAAAUUUCGUGGUUUCGGAUUUAGUGCCUUCAUUGUGUUUCACCUACAGGUUAAGAAGUUGUUGGUAAGCAAGAAAAU